CAGCCUCCAGAAGUGUAAGAAAUAAAUUUCUGUUGUUCGUGAGCCACCCAGUCUAUGAGAUUUUGUUAUGGCAGCCUCAAUGUAAGACACCUCCCUACAUAAACUAUGUUUUCAACUCAAUACUUGGCUCUCUGAAUUGCAAUAAUUUGUGGCUGUGCAAAUUUUCUCUCUUCUUAGAGAAAAGUUCAUUGAACAGGAACCGUGAAGACUUGUUCCUUCAGAUUCUCCUUGUCUUUUAUUUCUGGGUCGUGUCUCAGCUCCUAAUCUCUCAGAGGCCCCUCACUUCCUUCCCUGUCAUUGCCAGCUUCUUCCUUGCAGAUUUUAUUUUUGCACCACCCACUCAAUGGAGGAGGCAAGGAGCUAAUAGAUUUGUGGCAGUGAGAACAUCUGCUGAGCCACAUAAAUCAAGGCAUUCAGUCUUAUAAUUUUGUUGAGAAAGCAGAAGAGCAAUAAACAUCUUUAUUUGGCAGAGGCCCGCCCUGCUUACAGCUUAAGGUUUUAUCUCUCCCCUGUUUUUUUCUGUCACUGCUCAUCUUAUGACUGAAUGGUUUCUGGCUGCCAUUUUGUUAGCCCAGAACUGAAACUGUAUCAGCCAUGUGCAAGUAAUUUACAGAAGGAAGACUAUGGUAAAAUCAGGAAGGAGGGAAAGUUUGAGUUUAGCAGACAGCCAGGAUCAAAGGCUUCCCAAAGACCCCUGUACCCUGGCAUGUUUCAGCCACCAUCAGUUCAACAAGGAGUGGUGCUGGGGAGACCCGUCUAAGCCAUCCUGGAGAGCUGAGUGUCUUUUCUGUCUGAUUGCCCAAGGCAUUCACAGAAAAAGAAUUGCCAUAGCCUUCAUUUAUUCAUUCAUGCAUCCUCAAAUUCUUCUUGUUCAGUCGCUCUUUUGGAGGCUACUUCUUUUUGCCAUGAAUGACAGAAGUUCAUGGGCACUGGAGCUAAAUUCAUCUAGGUGUCUCAAAGAACAAGCUACCAACUCGCAAGUCAACUAGGAUUUGAGGUCAACAACCACUUCCCUGGGAGACAUUUGAGCCUGCGGAUGGCAGCACCAACUAGGAGACCAGAGAGCCUGACUUUCCUCACCUUCUCCUUUUGCCUCUCGAAAUCAGCAAAACCACGUAAUGCUCCUCUCGGACUCCAAAGAGGGAACUGAUUCCCGCUCCUGGGCUUCCUGGGGGAAAGGCAGGCCAGCAGCGCCAUAGGACAGAUACUGGGCUGAGGAAGGAAAGAAUUAUAUCACAGACUUUAAGGCUAUGAGGAAUCCUAGAGGUCAUCCAUCCCUGCACUGACGAAUGGGAGUACCAUGAUCAAGGACACACGCACACCUGUGGCAGAGCCAGGACUGGAAACUAGAUGACUGGCUCCCAGUCCAGGUCUCUCUCCAGUGUGCCCAGUGUUCCCAAAAAGAUGCCGGACUGAUUGGUAUCAAAGGACAUUCCUCAAAUGCCGGAGUCCUUAAUAUCCCAUGAAGAUACCAAAUAGACAUAAAUGUGGAACAAUUGAGAGAGAGAGGAAGGAACCUCUUUUUAUUUAUAACCAUUGGGUGCUCCUAUUGGCCUAUUCAUGAUGGAGGGGAAUUGAAGGGAUCUGCAGGAGAGGAAGGGAGCGGAUGUAGCAAGACAAGAACAGAGCAUGGUGGCCGGGAAAGUCAGUUAUGGGACCAGCCUUCCCGUGUCCACAUCCCAGCCCUCACACUUACUUAGGUGGGUUGCUUACACUUUCCAUGCCUCGAUUCGUUCAUCAUAAAGUGGAGAUAA